GAUUCGACCUUCCGGUCACCCUGAUUAAGGGGUUUGUACUGGUUGCAAAGUGAAUGUUGAAUCUUUUGAGGGUGGGGCCGAUUUGUGUGGUAAAAAGCACGGAUGGGUUGCACACUUUACUGUGAGAAAAUUGGAGUGCUCAAAGCAGGCCAUCAUGUAGGCCAUUAUACAGGUUAGCAUGGAAUAAUAGGAUAAGGACGGACUGGUUCUUAUUUUGUUGGUUUUAGGAUCAAGUUUAUAAAAAGUCCAA
rnacentral:rRNA from 1 species